AAUAGCCAUGCCCGUCCACGGAAGCCGAGGAGCAGCGCCUGAAGGAGAGGUGGUUCUCCAUGCAUCUCAGCUAUUAUUACAAGAUACUUUGAGAGCAACAGAGGAGCUCCUCAAUCAAAAGCGGGCACCUAAUCUUCAUGUGGCACAGAGACAGAAUCUCUGGGUGACGAUGCGGGUCACUGCCCUGUCUUUAGACAUAUCAAGGAAAGCAGCUGACGACAAGUCACUCAGAAAUUUAUUUGUAGAUGCAAGUGCUUAAAAAAUAGAAAAGAACCCUAGAAUCACAAGGCUGUUCGCACCUGGGUUGCUGUGAACCACGUCUCAGGAAAUAACAAAAGUUUUACAGACAAUAGGUUCGUGAUCAAUUCUCAGCCAGCCUGAUGGACUCACACUUUCUCCACUUCCCAGUGCACUGUGCCUCCCCACCCCCAGGCUGCCCACGAGGCUCCACUGCCCGCUGCCCAGCUCUGCUCUAUCUUGACCACACCUCACCUGGGUCGCUCCUUCCUGCAGAGCCCUGAGCUCCACGUCCUCACGCCUGAGUGAGCCUGAGAAGCUGGAGCGCACCCCUUAUCAUCUCUCUGGGGAACCAGCUAGACACAGCAGGACCUGUGUCCUGCUCAACCCCACUGGCCAUUUUCCCGGGUUUGUCCAGGGUCCCCUCCAAAGACUCUGCUGGCCCCAGUGGCUCCCCCUUACUGGAUAAAAGAAGGGCCUUUUCUGUUUGAAGUGCUUGCAGACCUAUGGUCACGGGGUCCUCUUGCUGCCAUCAUUCCUCUCCCUGCCUUACAACAAUCCUUCCAAACAAAGCCUCUCCUGACUAAGUCCUGGCUGUUUUCCUCUAACAGAGCUCACAACUUCCUUCACUCUGGGUGACCUGUCCCUCCUCCAUCUGAGAGAAGCCCUGGGGCGCUCCUCCCCAGUAGUUCACCCCAACCCGAAACCUGCUGAUUAUUGGAUGGCGAACAAAGCAAGACCCUCCCCUCUGCUCUUACGACCCCUCCCCUGCUACCUCAGCUCCAUCCCCUCCUCCUCAUUUCUACCAUCGCCCCUGAGGCUUCUGCUUCCUGUAGAAGGGCUGCCCAUAGGAGGAAGAAACAGGCCACCAGGUAACACACCCCUCCUGCGUUCUCAGGUGCCCUCUAACACUGCCCUUGGAUGGUCUUGCUUAGCGUGAAGGUAAGAAAGUAAGCCCUUUUAUAGAUGAUUAGCCCUGGCAAUGCCUGCCUGGAAAGAAAAGAAAGAAAACGAAAAACAGAUUGGACUUUGCUGGGGACCAAAAAUGAACAUUAAUUAAGCAGAAAUGUAACGUGUUGAACAAAACCGCGUUGUGUGGCCACGCAGAUGCUGAGGGACCCAGGAGGCCCAAUGACACCCCCUUCCUUGCAGAACAAAGAGAUUCAUGGCCACUGUGGGGGCCCCUUCUGUUAGACUGCACAGAGGCAGGGAUCUGGAGGUCUCCAAGAGUGGCCUCCUCCCUGCAACACCCUCCCUGCCCCAGAGGGGAAGGUAGUGGAUGGAGAUUGAGACCCUGCUGCUGACUGGCUCCCAGCCUGGGCUGGUUGCCUUUACUUCGAGAGCUGAGGUGGAAGCUCCAUAUGGCACUGACCUCUGCAAUGUUUCUCAUGUCCUUUGCCCCAUAUUCCUUCUGUAGUUCCAAGUCAAAUCUAAAUUAUAUGUCACCCUGAGAAAGCUGAGACCUAUUUGGUUUUUAGCUCUCUAAAAAUGCCCCUAUAUUAAAGAUCCUCUUAGAUCUCACUCUUAUUGAAACUUCCUCAAAUUUAAAAUCACACUGUUCAUUUGCAUAGACACUGUGAGGUGCAUAAAAGGCGAGGAAUGUGGCUUACAGUCACAUGUUUCAUAACAAUAAGUUUCCAGGCAGAAAAUUCCACAGCAACAUCAGAAGUUCAUUCCUAAGAAAAGCCAGGGACAGUUUGGUAAAUUCAGAUAACAGUCAUAAGGAGUUGCUUUAAAACUCAACAUUGAGGCAUUUCUAGGAAAGCCAUCUGCCUCUGGCUACAAUCCUACAGAGGACACUGUGUACAGCUCAGAAUGGGUCACCAUGACCGUUUCUCCUUGUGAUUGCCUUUAAUUCACAAACAGGCUCUGCACACACUGGAGGCCAUAGCACACACACUGGAGGCCAUGGCACACCACUUUGUGGACAUUGGUCAUCUGGGUGUCAGUCAUCUUUUGAAAUUAUCAGCAAAGUUGAAAAGAUAGUAAAUGCUUUGUUAACCCCUAAAGUAACACUCUGUAUAAACUUUGAGGAAGUCAAUAUGGUGAGCUGGUUGGGAAUUCUUGCUGAGAUACCAGGCAGCAGCAGUGCACCACCUGCCGGCCACAUGUGGGAGUCCCCCAGCCCAAUCGAGCCUUCGGAUGACAUGGCUCCCACCCACUCUCUGAUGGUACCUGCAGUGGAGGCCCCAACUGAGAAGCACUCAGCCGAGCCCAGUUGACCCCCAGAGCCACAAGAGAUUGUAAAUAAAUCACUGUUAAAGCCACCAUGACUCAAGGUGGUAGAUAACUGGGGCAGUUUUCUACUCUCAUUGUGCGCACAAAACUUCUGAAGUAAUGAACAUGUUUUUAAAAAACAAAACAAAUUAAAAUAAAAGCGUCAUUUGUUGGUUUUUACAAAACCCUCCCCAGGAAAGCCUAGAGUUAGCACAGGUGCUGAGAGUGGAGGGACAGGAAGAAGAAACCUACAACAAUGACAGCUGGCAGGCAGCCACAGGCUCACACCCAUUGCAAAAACAUAGACUACCGAGCCCAGCAGUGCUUGGAUCUGUGUUAUGUGGUUUGGAUCUAUAUCUUUUUCUUCAUAAAAAAGUUAAAAAAGGCUACUUAACAAAUUACAUCAGCAAAUUCUCUAGUAGGGACAAAAACACAUUUUAUAGGAGGAAGUACAAGCUGUGCUGACACCUUGAAUUUUGGAGUUUACGAAGAUGUCAAAUGGUGUAUCCUUCAAUGCUCACUGUAUAUGCUAAUACAUUUGGGCAUGGGGAGUCACUCUGUGUUAUUCUACCCCAUAAAGUAGCUGGCCUGAAAAUUACUCUCCCAAAUAGCCAGGAGAACACCUGUUAUAAAUUAUUUUUCAGAUACGAAUCAUUUUUUCAGAUAGUUACUAUGUACAGCACACAAGCUACAGAAAUAGUUAAAAGUAUGCCAUUUACUUCCCACCUUUUGGGAACUCAUAUAGUUGGAAAGUUGAGGCCUAAAUACAUGACAAUACAAGCCACAUGUGAUAUGCAGAGAGCCUACGUGUGACGGAUCAGUGAAGAAAUGCCACUGCGAGCGUCCAGUUCACAGGAGGGAGCACAGAGGAGCUCCUCCACCUCCAGCAUCCUGGACUUCAGGCUCUUCGUGAAAGGCUGGGACUCAGCCAGGAAGGCGACUCAGAUCUGACCAGCCCUCAGGAACAGCGCAGAAGUGGAGAGGAAUCAGUGAUGGAUGAUGGACAGCUCUCCCGCCACAGGAGGACGACAGGACUCACCCUCCACCCACCGCGGGAGGGGAGGGAACCCUCACCCACGGGACGGGUCAUCUCCUGCAGCAUUAUCUUCCUGGCUCUUCCUGUUGGACUCCCAGGAUUAGGGGGCCAACCCUCCCAGUUUUCCAGAGACUUCCCGGAAAGUAGAAACGUCUGUGCUAAAAUCAGGACAGUGCUGCCACAGCAGGAAGAGCAGCCACUCUGGGCCUAACGGAUGUGCAGGCGUCCGGGACUGGGAGGCGGUCGCCCUUCUCCUCUGCAAUGGUUAGGGUACCCCUGGGUGCCUCUCUGCUAGGGGGUGGCAUAGGCGGGAAGCCCUGACACCUGAGAAAGCAAGAGGGCCACUGGAAAUGAGGGGCGGGGUGCAGCGGAAGGCCGAGGGGGCGGCUGCCGUCAGUAUGUGAAGGGUGCCUGCAGGGAGAAAGAGCAGCUCUACUCUCAGUUGAAGCAAAAGGAAAACUUUGGCCAAAAGCCAUGCAGGUGGGAGGAGGUGGCUUGGGCUGGGAGAAGGGAGGACACAUUUCCCCGCAGGGAUCUGCCGCGCUGUGGGCUGAGAGGAGGGCCUCAGAGAAAGGCCCAGCUGCCUCCUGUGCUGGAAAGGGUGUCAAGCCAGAAAGGUCAAUUUGAUCUAAAACAGAAAGCGUCGGGGGUGCUGGAGAGAGAGAAUUCCCAAGAGGGAGCGAGGGCGGGGAGGCCCCGGUGAAAGACUCCAGAGGCUCUGGAGAGUUCGGGAAGGAGACAGCAGCAUAAGAAAGCGCUCCUUCUGGCUCCAGCACAACCUCUGGAAUGUUCUCCAGAGACAGAGCCAGGAGUUCCGCAUUCUCUCUCGUGAUCUCUUCUUGCAGUUGGACCCUGGAGCUUUUCAAGAAAGAAGACACAACAAUAACGCCCAUCCACGCCUGCUGGUGUGCUCCCUCCUGGCGGCAGCCACGGCUUCAGAAAUGAAUUCCACCUAACCAGUAGUCAUUCGCUUUAUAACGCCUGCGGAUCUUUGAACUAGGAGGAAAAUGGGGAGCUUUUCAUAGCAUCCCCUUUGAAAAAUCUUCUUUGAGGUCUCAAAUUUAAACUUCCAACCCUGACCAUGACAUUAUAGAUACAGCCUCAGUUUUGCAAAAUUUUAGCAAUAAAAGUGAGAAACUGACACAAGUAUGAGAAGAGACAUGAAAAUCAUAAUGGUGUUUGUAUAAGGAGGUAGAAAUAUAAGAAAUGUAAUUAUUAAAAAAUUCUCUUUGUACUUUCAUUUAAUAACAAAAUAAGUUGGUUGCAUAAUGAAACAGAAUUUCUAAGAAAAGCAAAAGGACUAAUUAUAGUGACUAUUAUGGAUAUCACUAAUUUUCACUGCUGGAAAAAUAACACCUUCUAGACGUUUCCAGAUAAACUGUUGUGUGAGUGCUGCCAUAGUCACAAUUUCUUUCUGUGUUAGUUUCCAGAACAGUGGACAAUACUAUUUUGCUUCAAGUCAGAUACAGAAAAUGGGGAAAAGACACUAGGUUUUUGGACAAGGCACCCUGCUUAAACACCAGGAAUGUGGAAAAAGAGGUAUUGUUGAACCAACAAGAUUUUUAUGAUGAAUGAAAUAGCUCUCAGCAGCUCUAAAACCGACUUCCAGCAGAAUCAGUUUUCCUCUGACUUACUUAAAAAUCUCCCAAUCAUAUUCCGCAAAGGCAUAAUUGACUGCCAGAAAGGACAGGUCUGCUCACAGAAUGAGGACCACAGAAAGCCUCUCUCGCCCUUCUGCAACAUCUAGAGGGCGCUGGGCGCUGGGGUCUGGCUGGCACACUCUCUGACCCAGCAGCCAACUGCGGGGUGGACCAGUGAGACCCCCAUCCAGUGUCUGAGGAGUGGGCAGCACAGCCCCCAUUAGCCCGCCGCUGUCUUGGCGAUGUAUGUCGGAGGAGACAGAUUCUUUACAGAACCUGAAGACUCAUUCUGACAAAAAGACCAAAGGAAAAUGACUGAUUUUAUUACGUAGUCAUUUAAUUACACUCACAAGGCUGAUUUUUUGAUUUACUAAAACAUCUGUUUGUCUACCAGAAAGAGAUCUGAAAGCCACAUUCUUUUUAGGUUGGGGAUCUCCUAUCAAAUGAUCUUGCCAUUGGAUAAUCACACAGAUUUAUGUGUCUAAAACCUCCUCCCUUGGAUCUGUGAAGACAUCCUCACCUCAGGUCCUCACUGGAUGCAGAGCUAAGGACGGGGCCUCCCCUGGGAUUUACAGCACUGCUCGGUGACCCAGAUUCAGAGUGCUAAUUUCCAUUUCUGUCUGCCGGGAACAGCCUCACUGACUUAUAAACUGCUACAGAAAUGAAAAAGGGUGACGUGUGCACGGUGACGUCAGAGCCACAGGCUGGUUACAGCAGCCGUCACAGCAGGCCUCGGCCAGGGGGCUCUGCAUAGAGAAGGGGGCCCUGCUCAUCUCCGUGCCAGGGUUUGAAAUUUAGGCCACUCAAUGGCAGUAACCCCUCCGAAAUAUGAAGUGAUGCCUCUGGACUGGGGUUUCCUAUGCCUGGAAGAAGGGUUUCCAAGUGCACUGUGAUUAUGAAUUGCCUCUCCUUGGGGUUCAAAUGUAGGUUCUGGGUGGAUAGACCAGGGCUGGGUCCUGCGGUCCUGUGAUUCUGAACUCCUCUCGAGGUCUACCACUGCUCAGAAGACCACCUGGGAGCAGGAGGGAGCUAGACCGUCUCAGCUAAGUCACGUGAUUUAUAACCCAUCAAACCACCAUCUCCACCAGCCCCUAGGAUUUCAGGCAGCUUGUGUGGCAGGAGGUGGGGACAGCACAGGGAGGAUGACGUCCUCAUGACAUAAGCCCGAUCAAGGGAAGGUGAGGAGGGAGAGGCAGAAGCUGCCGGAGAGUCCUCCUACACCCAGCUCUAGGUCAUGCGCCGGCUGCCGAAGGGCCCUGCUUUGCAUCUUGAUCCUGUCUGCUGCGAUGCGGUUGUCAGAGCCCAGAGCCGUGUCUGUCACGGUUGUGUGACCUGGUCCACCCACCCUGCCCUAACGAUCUCUGCUCAUAAGAUCUCAUGUCUAUUUUAUCCUGGAACCUCUUCCUUGCCCUGCCCUUUUUCCUUUCUUUGUUCCAUUUUCCCUUUCUUCAUCUAUCCAUCUUCUCAUUCUACCCCCCAAAAUAGGAGUGCUUUAAAAAGUAAAGAGGAAUGCAUGUCUUGCCUAGAUGCCCCAUCCUCUCUAACGCAGUCAUCUGAACGCUGAAGGAUGCGCUGCAUAUUUACUGUAUUUUACUCAGCAACACAGCAAUGUCCAACCAACAUUUUGGUCUUGGGGAAGCCUAUUCCAAAUUAAUUUUCAACUAAUCAUUUUAAACAUUUAAAACUUGGGAUCUGAUGGGUGAAAAUAUUGCUAAGACAUGUGAUGAGAUUUCUGGCUGUCUCCAGGGGAGCUGGGCGUCGUCCAACCCUGCCUGGGCCCCAUUCGUGGAGCCGCUGGGGACGUGUGCUUUCUCAUCUGCAGCAGCACACCAAAUUCCACACUGAGAUCCUUCCAAUACUUGGAACUACAGUAUCUGCUUCCGCAUUAAAUGGGCCCAUGUGAGGUCUACUGAGUUGCCCUCUCUGUGUUUUGGGGUUCUUCCAGCCCACCUCUUGACUGCACCUGGCUGUCUGCCAUUCCUCAUCACUUCCAGCGUGCCUGACUCCAGCAGGUGACAUUCCCACUGAAUGUGCUGCUUCCAAUAAGCUCUGGGCUGGGAAACCAAACAGCCCCCCCUUAUCAGAACUGUGCCUAAAAUAAGAGCCAGUGUAUCUGAAUGUGCACCUGAGGGUCUCCCCUGGGAGAAAAACACACCAAGUUUGGGUACAGGCUUCGUGGUAUCUAUUUUGGUGCAGAGUCUCUUUGGGUUCAUUUCCUCUUUCUCAGGCUGCCUUAGAGGUUGAUAUUAUUAGAUAAGAGAGCUCCAGGUAAGUCAGGCCUCAGAGGGUUCAGAUGUUUAAUUAGAGAAGACAUAAUGCAAAAUUACAACAAGUGCAUCCGAGAUUGUUAUACAAAUGGAAUCGCAGUAUUGUUAAAUGACAUAAAUGCAUUCACCCACAACACAGUGAAACUGAUUGUCACUGGUUUAUCACUUUCACUUGGGAGACAAUGCUAUCACUAGAACUCCUUCUGAUGCAUUGCAGCAUCAAGAAUUCUCUUGAAGCAGACCCAUCAGUGUAUCCAGAGACACACGUUCCAGACACAUCUGUGUAUUCCACGAGGCUGGCUCUGGGCUUCUCUGUGUCUCCCCCACCUCACCCCAUCCCACCUUCGUCAGCACGCUGUGGCUCUUUCCUCCCUCCUGGGAUGUCCUUCUCACCUGUGAUGCCGCCUGCUGCCCUUGUUCAUCCCAACCUCCCUGCACAAAGCCAGCCCCUCCACCGAGCCUCAUUCAUGUUAGAUCCACCAGCACCCCCCAUUCUGCAGCAGCCACAGCCCCCAGGGUGAGAAGUUUGGGAGACAUGUUCCAUUUUGGUCUGUGGGAUCUGCAUUUCUUCCUUAUAGUUAUGGCUCAUAGAGAUGACUGCUCUUUCAAAGGUGGUUGUGGUCUAUUAGAGCGUUUCCAAUGUCCCCAUACUUCUUUCUCGAGUGCUAGUCAAAAGCGACUUGCAGAUGGUAUGGAAUGUC
rnacentral:lncRNA from 1 species